rnacentral:rRNA from 1 species
GAUGAACGCUGGCGGCGUGCCUAAUACAUGCAAGUCGAGCGAACGGACGAGAAGCUUGCUUCUCUGAUGUUAGCGGCGGACGGGUGAGUAACACGUGGAUAACCUACCUAUAAGACUGGGAUAACUUCGGGAAACCGUAGCUAAUACCGGAUAAUAUUUUGAUCCGCAUGGUUCAAAAGUGAAAUACGGUCUUGCUGUCUCUUAUAGAUGGAUCCGCGCUGCAUUGGCUAGUUGGUAAGGUAACGGCUUACCAAGGCAACGAUGCGUAGCCGACCUGAGAGGGUGAUCGGCCGCACUGGAACUGGGACACGGUCCCGAGUCCUACGGGAGGCAGCAGUAGGGUAUCUUCCGCACUGGGGGAAAGCCUGACGUAGCGACGCCGCGUGAGUGAUGAAGGUCUUCGGAUCGUAAAACUCUGUUAUUCGGGAAGAACAUAUGUGUAAGUAACUGUGCACAUCUUGACGGUACCUAAUCAGAAAGCCACGGCUAACUACGUG